rnacentral:tRNA from 1 species
GCGCGCGUAGCUCAGUGAUAAGAGCGUCCGGUUUACACCCGGAAGGUCCCUGGUUUGAAUCCAGGCGCGCGCACCC